rnacentral:rRNA from 1 species
AUUGAACGCUGGCGGCAGGCCUAACACAUGCAAGUCGAACGAGUGGCGGACGGGCGAGCAAUGUCUGGGAAACUGCCUGAUGGAGGGGUAUAACGACGGGAAACGGUAGCUAAUACCGUAAAACAAAGGAUGGGCCGAUAUUGGUUUAGCUAGUAGGGGGGGAAACGGCUCACCUAGGCGACGCCCCCUAGCUGGUCUGAGAGGAUGACCAGCCACACUGGAACUGAGACACGGUCCAGACUCCUACGGGAGGCAGCAGUGGGGAAUAUUGCACAAUGGGCGAAAGCCUGAUGCAGCCAUGCCGCGUGUAUGAAGAAGGCCUUCGGGUCGUAAAGUACUUUCAGCGGGGAGGCGUUACCCGCAGAAGAAGCACCGGCUAACUCCGUGCCAGCAGCCGCGGUAAUAC